ACUUACCAGGUCAAGACAUGGGCGUGAUUGACAGGCUAAUGACUUUUCUCGAUUCCAUGGAUGGUGGUGCAUGGUCGCACUUAGUUGGUGCAGUGAUUUGUCAGGUUUAUUCCGGUAACGAACGAGACCUCGGCCUUGUAAAUAGCUAUGCUGCUUACAGGGACAUUGGCGGCUACGCCAAGGAAGCUCGAGGCAAUUGCAGAUCUGGAAUGCCCUUAGAUGUCCUGGGUCGCACGCGUGCUACAAUGACGCCACGAACGAGCUUGCGUGAUGAAAGUUACGCAUAAUCAGCAGUCGGCGUCUUAAGGGAUAGUCUCUUGUAACUGUGGGACUCCAACUAGGAAUGUCUCGUAAGCACAAGUCAACAUCUUGUGUUGAUUACGUCCCUGCUCUUUGUACACACCGCCCGUCGCUCCUACCGAUCGAGUGUUUACGGUGAAUUUGAUGGACGUAAGGAAGUCAAAUAAACCUGAGCACUAGAGAAGAGAAGUCUACAUUUU
rnacentral:rRNA from 1 species